AUGGUUAGUGUUAGGGUUGUAGUUGAGGCUAGGGGUAGUGUUGAGCCAGGAUGUGGACAAGAAGUUAGGGUUAGUGUUAGGGUUGUAGUUGAGGCUAGGGGUAGUGUUGAGCCAGGAUGUGGACAAGAAGUUAGGGUUAGUGUUAGGGUUGUAGUUGAGGCUAGGGGUAGUGUUGAGCCAGGAUGUGGACAAGAAGUUAGGGUUAGUGUUAGGGUUGUAGUUGAGGCUAGGGGUAGUGUUGAGCCAGGAUGUGGACAAGAAGUUAGGGUUAGUGUUAGGGUUGUAGUUGAGGCUAGGGGUAGUGUUGAGCCAGGAUGUGGACAAGAAGUUAGGGUUAGUGUUAGGGUUGUAGUUGAGGCUAGGGGUAGUGUUGAGCCAGGAUGUGGACAAGAAGUUAGGGUUAGUGUUAGGGUUGUAGUUGAGGCUAGGGGUAGUGUUGAGCCAGGAUGUGGACAAGAAGUUAGGGUUAGUGUUAGNGUUGUGGUUGAGGCUAGGGGUAGUGUUGAGCCAGGAUGUGGACAAGAAGUUAGGGUUAGUGUUGUCGUUGUGGUUGAGGCUAGGGGUGCAGUCGUGGCCAAAAGUUUUGAGAAUGACACAAAUAUUAAUUUCCAAAGGGUUUCCUGCUUCAGUGUCUAGAAAUUAUUGUCAGAUGUUACUAUGGAAUACUGAAGUAUAAUUACAAGCAUUUCAUAAGUGUCAAAGGCUUUUAUUGACAAUUACAUGAAGUUGAUGCAAAAAUUCAAUAUUUGCAGUGUUGACCAUUCUUUUUCAAGACCUCUGCAAUCCACCCUGGCAUGCUGUCAAUUAACUACUGGGCCACAUCCUGACUGAUGGCAGCCCAUUGUUGCAUAAUCAAUGCUUGGAGUUUGUCAGAAUUUGUGGGUUUUUGUUUGUCCACCCGCCUCUUGAGGAUUGACCACAAGUUCUCAAUGGGAUUAAGGUCGGGGGAGUUUCCUGGCCAUGUACCCAAAAUAUUGAUGUUUUGUUCCCCGAGCCACUUAGUUAUCACUUUUUCCUUAUGGCAAGGGGCUCCAUCAUGCUGGAAAAGACAUUGUUUGUCACCUAACUGUUCCUUGGUGGUUGGGAGAAGUUGUUCUCGGAGGAUGUGUUGGUACCAUUCUUUAUUAAUGGCUGUGUUCUUAGGCAAAAUUGUGUGAGCCCACUCCCUUGGCUGAGAAGCAACCCCACACAUGAAUGGUCUCAGGAUGCUUUACUGUUGGCAUGACAAAGGACUGAUGGUAGUGCUCACCUUGUCUUCUCCGGACAAGCUUUUUUCCCGGAUGCCCCCAACAAUCGGAAAGGGGAUUCAUCAGAGAAAAUUACUUUACCCCAGUCCUCAGCAGUCCAAUCCCUGUACCUUUGCAGAAUAUCAGUCUGUCCCUGAUGUUUUUCCUGGAGAGAAGUGGCUUCUUUGCUGCCCUUCUUGACACCAGGCCAUCCUCCAAAAGUCUUCGCCACUCACUGUGCGUGCAGAUGCACUCACACCUGCCUGCUGCCGUUCCGGAGCAAGCUCUGUACUGGUGGUGCCCCGAUCCCGCAGCUGAAUCAACUUUAGGAGAUGGUCCUGGCGCUAGCUGGACUUUCUUGGGCGCUCUGAAGCCUUCUUCACAACAAUUGAACCGCUCUCCUUGAAGUUCUUGAUGAUCCGAUAAAUGGUUGAUUUAGGUGCAAUCUUACUGGCAGCAAUAUCCUUGCCUGUGAAGUCCUUUUUGUGCAAAGCAAUGAUAACUGCACAUGUUUCCUUGCAGGUAACCAUGGUUGACAGAGGAAGAACAAUGAUUCCAAGCACCACAGUCCUUUUCAAGCUUCCAGUCUGUUAUUCAAACUCAAUCAGCAUGACAGAGUGAUCUCCAGCCUGUCCUCGUCAACACUCACACCUGUGUUAACGAGAUAAUCACUGACAUGAUGUCAGAUGGUCCUUUUGUGGCAGGGCUGAAAUGCAGUGGAAAUGUUUUUGGGGGAUUUAGUUCAUUUGCAUGGAAAAGAGGGACUUUGCAAUGAAUUGCAACUCAUCUGAUCACUCUUCAUAACAUUUUGAAGUAUAUGCAAAUUGCCACCAUACAAACUGAGGCAGCAGACUUUGUGAAAAUUAAUAUUUGUGUCAUUCUCCAAACUGUUGGCCACGACUGUAGUGUUGAACCAGGAUGUGGGCAAGAAGCUAGGAUUGUAGUUGAGGGUUAGUGUUG
rnacentral:lncRNA from 13 species